CCUACGGGUGACUGCAGUCGAGAAUCAUUCACAAUGGGGGAAACCCUGAUGGUGCGACGCCGCGUGGGGGAAUGAAGGUCUUCGGAUUGUAAACCCCUGUCAUGUGGGAGCAAAUUAAAAAGAUAGUACCACAAGAGGAAGAGCCGGCUAACUCUGUGCCAGCAGCCGCGGUCAUACAGAGGUCUCAAGCGUUGUUCGGAAUCACUGGGCGUAAAGGGUGCGGAGGCUGUUUCGUAAGUCGUGUGUGAAAAGCGAGGGCUCAACCCGCGGACAGCAGAUGAUACUGCGUGACUAGAGUAAGGGAGAGGGAAGCGGAAUGCGUGGUGUAGCAGUGAAAUGCGUAGAUAUCGCGAGGAACACUCGUGGCGAAGGCGGGUUCCUGGACAUCAACUGACGCUGAGGCACGAAGGCCAGGGGAGCGAAAGGGAUUAGAUACCCCAGUAGUC
rnacentral:rRNA from 1 species